AACUCCACCCAUGAACAAGACGUCAUAACGCUUCUUCUCAGGAGUUUCAGGGAUUUCUUAACUGCAGCUGACGGUGAAAUUAGUGGUGAGUGUUUGUGUGUGUGAGAGAUUAAGCAAAAAUCCUUCAGCAUUCAGCGUUCCUGACCGUCUUCACCACUUCGGAAAGAGGAUAUUUCAGCUUCCCAGUCAGUAGUCGUCCGUGGUUGAAUCGCAUUUGCACCAUGGCUGCUGUGAAAGCGCUUCAACAGUGGUGCAAGAUCCAGUGUGAAGGAUACCGGGACGUGUCGAUAACCAACAUGACCACAUCUUUCCGGGACGGUUUGGCUUUCUGCGCUCUAAUUCACAAACACAGACCGGACUUGAUAGACUUUGACUCUUUGAGCAAGGAAAAUAUUUAUGAAAACAAUCAACGGGCUUUCGAAGUGGCAGAGAAGGAGUUGGGAAUACCUGCCCUCCUGGAUGCUGAAGACAUGGUGGCUUUAAAAGUGCCAGAUCGCCUUAGUAUUCUGACUUAUGUGUCCCAGUACUACAAUUAUUUCCACGGGCGCUCUCCCAUUGGAGGAAUGGGAGGGAUUAAAAGACCAGCUGAAGAGUCUAAUGAAGCGCCAUCUGGGAAGAAGAACCCACCUGUCAUUGCUAAAGUUCUUCCCUCACCUAAGCCAGCCACGGAGAAUAAAACACCCAAACCGGCGAAUGAAAAUAAGAGAGAGGUUUUGACUGAACGUGCCAAUAAAUCGUCAACUCCGAGCAGCAACUGUAGUGUGUGCAACCAACAUGUUCACCUCGUCCAGCGCCACCUAGUAGAUGGAAAACUGUAUCACAGGAACUGCUUUAAAUGCAAAGAGUGUUCCACUAUUCUCCUCUCUGGCACCUACAAGGCUGGAAAAGAACCAGGCACUUUCAUCUGCAAGACACACACGAGCAUAGAGAAGCCUCUAACUACACGCUUCACGGCACCAUCCAAAACACAAUCCACCUUUAUAAACAAGCCUGACCAGAGUGCGUUAGGUGGAAGUACUGGUAAAGCUAGUUUAAAUACGAACACAUCUAAAUUGGGUUGGCUGGCCAACAAAAGUGACCGCAUUCCCAUGCGUGGGUUCACCGACACACCUACUCCAGCAGUUCAGCUCACGCCAACGGCAAAAGCAACACCCACACCAGACACUACAACAGCGAAAUCCCCCUCAGGCCCCAGAUCUGCCACUGAAUCUCUUAAACCUGUGAGCAACACUGUUCAGAAGAACCAAGAGGCCAGAAUGAGAUUCUUUGAGUCCAGCAGCAGCAGCCCCAGCAGUGUUGUGCCUGCCAGUAAGAGCACCUCAUCAUACACCUCAACUACAUCAGUGAGUACUGCAGGUGUUAAAACUACAGCACCAGAAACUACAACACCCAGAGUCCCUGCCGGAGCAGGUAAAGGCAGAGUUCUGCUCCGAGUGGGAGACUGGGCAAAAUCACAGGACACAGAAAAAGAGAAGGAGAAUGAAAAGGAAAAGGAAAAAGCCAAGGCUGUGAUUGGGAAGAUGGUGAAAGUGGACAAAGAUAGCAACAGCUCAUCUGCUAGUCCAGCUGGGCUGAAAGCAAACAGCAGUAAUGUUCCCCCUCUGGAAUCUAAUGCUAAAGCCCCCUUUGGUCGGGUGCGUCUCAAAGCGCUUGAAGCCAGUGGUGAAACUACUGCUCCUGCCACUACAGUCCCAUCCUGGAUGAAAGAGAAGAGCUUAUCCAGGAAUGUGAACACACCGUCAUCUAACAGCAAGGAAAACGAUACGGUUCCAUCUGACUGGAGAUCAAUGCUCAAGCCUGUUUCAAAACGCUCUGUUCCUCCCACUUCUUCAAGCUCUGCUGGGAUUGGCUGUCAUGAUUUGCGUGUCAAGCCGCUGCGUCCUAUAAGAGCAGCGGUGGGUCGAAUCUGAAAUAAAUCAUGCUCUAUUCACUCAUGUGCUGCUUCCAUCAAGAUCUUUCUACUGUAAAUUCCUGUUUAACUUUCUUGCCCACCUUCACAAACUUUAACCCAUCAGAGACCUGUCAGUAAUCUAGAAAGCAAGGGCUUACCCGCCAGGAGGACAGAAGCAGUUUCUUCUCCAAAGACAUCUGUUCCUGCUUCAUCUACAACAACCAUCUCUAUUAGCAUCAGCUCCUCCAAAACACCCUUAACUACCCCACUGAAAAAUGGGUCAAAACCUAAUGACUCCAGCAGCGUAUUUCCAGUUAGUCCCUCUGGGACAGAGACGCACAAAUCACACAAGCCGGGUUACAUUCCUAAAGAAGACAUUCAGAAAGAGCUGAAGGAGAUUGAGAUGAAUAUGAACGAGUUGGAGAAAAAAGGAGUAGAGCUGGAAAAACAACUCCGACAAUGUGAUGAGGAUGGAGAAGAGGACGCAUUAAUGAAUGACUUAAUGGUGGACUGGUUUACCCUCAUCAGAAACAAGCAGGUCUACAUGAGACGGGAGUCUGAGCUUGUUUAUAUUGCCAGGACGCAGGAUCUUGAGGAAGAGCAGCCCAGUGUUGAUGCCGAACUCCGGAGACUUAUGGAGAAACCAGAUCAUCUAAAGACUUUAUGGGAUCGUAAACGAGAGGAAGAGCUGAUGGCUAAACUGGUGGAGAUUGUUAAUGACCGUAAUGCUAUAGUGGAGGGUCUGGAUGAAGACAGACUGAGGGAGGAAGAGGAGGAUGAGCAGCUGAAUAAGAUGAUGCAGAGUUUUGAUAUGAAGAAGGAAAAGGUCAAGAAGAUGUCUCCAGUAACUCGAUGGUUUAGCAUGAGAAAACGGAGGUCUUCAGAAGAUUGAUCGUCUUGUAGUUUUUGUUUUUGUGUGUCUUCCAGAACAAUGUUUCUGCCACAGUUUGAGGUCAGAUCUCAAAAUAUAAACUGCAGUCACACGCUCUUCAAAACAUGGUGUUUUUGUGAAAUGCCAUCAUUACUCAUUUUCACACUCUUCAUUUCACAUACGUUUGCACUUGUUUUGUUGUUCAGACCUCUGUCUGUUGUCUUUAUGGGUGUGAUUUUUGUCAUUUGUUAGCAAACGCUUUUGCACUUGAAUCUUCUGAAUAAUGUCUCUCAGUCAGUGUUCCAUUAGGGAGUUGGACAGUGUCGAGAGAGAGUCUUACUGAUUCACAUUGGAUCAAUGCUGAAAAUGGACAGGUUGAGGUCUGAUCUCAAAUAUAUUCUAAUACAGAGAAUUGACUUUUUAUUAUAAAUGUUUUUGUAAAUAGAAACAAUCAUAUUUUAGCGCUUUUAAAAGGCAUCGUUUUAAUUGUGUUUUAUGCUGCACUUCUCCUGUGUGAGCUGCAGGGGGCAGACUGCGACCAACUUCAUUGUUUGCCAUCUUAAAUUCUCAACAGACUUGAGUAAUGAGAAUCUUUUUUUUCUCAUCUAAGAAAUGUAAGAUUUAAGAGUGAGAUGUUGCUCCGUAUGCAUUUAACCACAGCCCAUAGCUUUUAAAUCAUGUAAAUAUUUUUUCAUGUGACUUGUUUUUUCAAAAUUGAGUUGUCUGCUUGUGGUGUUUACUUUUUUUGAUUUAAAUGUUCCUUUAUUCGCUCUCUUUUUGUUAUAUUUGGUGUGUAACAAGCUGUUUAUAAUUUAAAGGUCUCUAUAUUUUUUAUCCAGCACCCAGCACUUAAUUGCAAACAUUUAUGCUGUGUACUGUCAUUCACUUUGCUGUGAAUACAUAUUUAAAAUCAAU